GCCUCCUGGCCGCCGCAGCGGUGCUUACGGCCCGACCCCACCCACCAGUAACCAGCCAAUGCUGCUCCAACGUCCGGAGGCCCCGCCCCGCACACAUCCAGAGACUGAAAGAGCCACCCCAGCAACGCCCCAGCCACGCAGGACUCAUCUGGAAGCUUCCUGGCUCCACACCCACUGGAGCUACUAAGGGAGGGUGCCUGCCAGUUUUCUGAGGCUGUCCAUGGCACCUGGCAGUCAGGCCAGCAACCUUCAUCCACCUUGGUCAAAGAAGACAAGACUGUCCUGUAGCCAGAGCCACACUCAGAGCCCCUUCCAGAUUCCACUGCUUCCUUGAGUCACAAUCCAGUCUAGUAACUACAAGUAACUACAAACAUCAGAGAAAGGAGCAAGGAGACUCAAAAGAAGACAAGGGAUGUGUCCAGACCACAAAUCCCCCAGUGACAGGGAUGGAGUCAAAAUAUUCUUCCUAGAGGUAGUGAAGAGUUAUGUGUAGCCUCUACAACUUCUCAGCUACACUGUGAGCUCCUAGAGGCAGAACACAGGACUAAGUUGCCUGACUAUCCUGCAUGGAGUCCUAUCGACAAGGUUCAAUGAACAUCAGAUGAACGAAUGAUUGAAGAAGGGAGAAUGAAGGGUAAUUUUGCCUGUUGUAAGUAGGGGGUCUGUCACUGGGUACUUGCUCUAUAUGGGUAUGCGGGGUUUCUGUCUUCAUAAAGAUUCCUGGGAUACUGGGGUGUGGCAUGCCUUGAGAAGAAUCCUCAGUGGGAAAGGGUGAAUAUU